GACGAACCGUCCUAACGUUGUUCGGAAUCACUGGGCUUAAAGGGCGCGUAGGCGGACGAGUUAGUCCGGGGUGAAAUCUUUCGGCUCAACCGGAAAAGCGCCUCGGAAACGGCUGGUCUGGAGGAAGGUAGGGGCGGGCGGAACUUCCGGUGGAGCGGUGAAAUGCGUUGAUAUCGGAAGGAACGCCGGUGGCGAAAGCGGCCCGCUGGACCUUUACUGACGCUGAGGCGCGAAAGCCAGGGGAGCGAACGGG
rnacentral:rRNA from 1 species